UGAACUUCCAAAAUAUGGUGUGAAAGU
rnacentral:piRNA from 1 species